rnacentral:rRNA from 1 species
UACGGAGGAUGCAAGCGUUAUCCGGAUUCAUUGGGUUUAAAGGGUGCGCAGGCGGAAUGAUAAGUCAGUGGUGAAAUCUCCCGGCUCAACCGGGAAACUGCCAUUGAUACUGUCGUUCUUGAGUACAGUUGAAGUGGGCGGAAUGUGUCAUGUAGCGGUGAAAUGCUUAGAUAUGACACAGAACACCGAUAGCGAAGGCAGCUCACUAAGCUGUAACUGACGCUCAUGCACGAAAGCGUGGGGAUCAAACAGG